rnacentral:tRNA from 1 species
GGCUCCAUAGUGUAGUGGUUAGUACAUCUGCUUUGCAUGCAGAAGGUCCUGGGUUCGCAUCCCAGGUGAAGCCA